UGGGGAAUAUUGCACAAUGGAGGGAACUCUGAUGCAGCGACGCCGCGUGAACGAAGAAGGCUUUCGAGUCGUAAAGUUCUUUUAUAUGGGAAGAUAAUGACGGUACCAUAAGAAAAAGCCCCGGCUAACUACGUGCCAGCAGCCGCGGUAAUACGUAGGGGGCUAGCGUUGUCCGGAAUCACUGGGCGUAAAGGGUUCGCAGGCGGAAAUGCAAGUCAGGUGUAAAAGGCAGUAGCUUAACUACUGUAAGCAUUUGAAACUGCAUAUCUUGAGAAGAGUAGAGGUAAGUGGAAUUUUCAGUGUAGCGGUGAAAUGCGUAGAUAUUAAAAAGAAUACCGGUGGCGAAGGCGACUUACUGGGCUCAUUCUGACGCUGAGGAACGAAAGCGUGGGUAGCAAACAGG
rnacentral:rRNA from 1 species